GUGUAGUGCAAUGGAUAGCUCGUUGAAUUUCUAAUCCAAAGGUUGUGGGUUCGAAUCACGCCUGAGAUG